UCAAAAAAUAUAUUCCCGAUCGAGGCGCAACGGAGCGAUCGCAUCGAUUCCAUCCACUCCGGAUUCGAGGUGCAGAGAGGAGCCGAUUGAUCCAGUCCGGAUUCGAGCACCGCUACGGCCGAGGUGAGGGAUGGAUCGAGUCCAUCCGUGCGCUGGGAUCAAGCGAAGGAUUCGGAUGCAACCGAUGCGCUCGAGCGUCGACGGUGUCGAGCGGAGGCAGGUGAUUCGGGUCCAGCCGAGGCGCCCUAGCGCGCAAUGGGAUCGAGUGCAGAACCGCCGGCGGCGCAAGGAUUAAGGCCGAUGGUCUUCAUCGAGUAACAGUUCAUCGAGGUGGCGAUGCCGAUAGAGAGAGCCUUAGUUAUGGUGUAGGCGGGCGAUUAGUACAAGGAGGCGGUGCAAACGGCUCAAGGAUACAAAGGUGGAUGUGCAGGAUGAAGCGACGGUGUCUCGCUGGUGCGAGAGGAGGAGGCGGGGGGUGACCACUACACUAGCAACCUCGUCGGCGCAAGAGUAACAGUACACAUCGAAAAGCGCCUAGGUAGGACGGUAAUGUCGAGGAUGCAAGGAGGAAGAGGAUAUGUGUGCCGCUCUUUCUUACCAUGAUUGUAUUCUUGGUUCAUUUACAUAUAUGUAUGUGCUCGUAUUUCCCAAAUGAUGACUACAAUUCUUGCAUUUUUUUUGUCAGAUGAUGGUUUGUGUUUGGCUCUCGAGUCUCGUAUCUGUAGUUUCAGUGUAGCAGUUCAUAUUGGUAUCAGCUUUAGCCAUUACGACUGUAGUUUGCAUUAGUGCUUAGCAAUGCUUCAAAUAUCCGACGCCCUCCCCAUGCUGCCUUGCUUCAUUUCUUGCAACCGAGCGGUAUCUGUGGCGGUCGAGCUCCAUCCCAGUGUAGCGCUCUCGCGCUUCCACUCCGCCCGACAGCAAUGUAGGAAUAAUUGGUGAGCAUGAAGAUCCUUCGUUGCUACAUCUGUUCCUACCCCAGCUGUCCAUCGAUUUGGAAGCUACGUGAUGGCUGUUCAACAACCUGGCAAUCAGGCAGUAUCGCCACCGCCCGGCGCCAA